GGCAGGGCUACACACGUGCUACAAUGGCCGGUACAGAGGGCGGCGAAGCCGCGAGGUGGAGCGAAUCUCAGAAACCCGGUCGUAGUCCGGAUUGCAGUCUGCAACUCGACUGCAUGAAGCCGGAAUCGCUAGUAAUCGCGGAUCAGAACGCCGCGGUGAAUACGUUCCCGGGCCUUGUACACACCGCCCGUCACACCAUGGGAGUGGGCUGUACCAGAAGUAGGUAGUCUAACCUUCGGGAGGACGCUUACCACGGUGUGGUUCAUGACUGGGGUGAAGUCGUAACAAGGUAGCCCUAGGGGAACCUGGGGCUGGAUCACCUCCUUUAAAGAUACCGGAAUAAGGCGUGAAAGCGUCCGCACAAUUUGCCUAAUCAUCGUACGGAUAGACCGCGGGUCUGUAGCUCAGUUGGUUAGAGCGCACCCCUGAUAAGGGUGAGGUCGGAAGUUCAACUCUUCCCAGACCCACCACCUUCGCGCGCGUAGGCGCAGCAAGGGAAAAAGGGGCCAUAGCUCAGAUGGGAGAGCACCUGCUUUGCAAGCAGGGGGUCGGCGGUUCGAUCCCGCCUGGCUCCACCAGGCGAUAAACGGCGGCGGCAAUUUGCCACCGCCGUUUAUCUCCUGGCCCAGGUGCCACGGGACGUUCUUUUACAAUUUAGGUAGUGAUAUACGACGGUGAAGUCGGGACAUGGUUUGACGUUCCGACUUUACUGGGUAUGCCAGCAUUUAUUAUGGUAGUUAGGACCUCAUUAAGAGCAGUCUUUUUGGGGUUAUAUGAUCAAGCGACUAAGCGCGCAUGGUGGAUGCCUUGGCGGCAAGAGGCGAUGAAGGACGUGGUAGCCUGCGAUAAGCUUCGGGUAGC
rnacentral:sRNA from 1 species